rnacentral:rRNA from 1 species
AGUUUGAUCCUGGCUCAGGAUGAACGCUAGCUACAGGCUUAACACAUGCAAGUCGAGGGGCAGCAUUGGAGUAGCAAUACUUCAGAUGGCGACCGGCGCACGGGUGAGUAACACGUAUCCAACCUGCCGCUUACUCGGGGAUAGCCUUUCGAAAGAAAGAUUAAUACCCGAUGGUAUAAAGAGUUCGCAUGUUCUCUUUAUUAAAGAAUUUCGGUAAGCGAUGGGGAUGCGUUCCAUUAGAUAGUUGGCGGGGUAACGGCCCACCAAGUCUACGAUGGAUAGGGGUUCUGAGAGGAAGGUCCCCCACAUUGGAACUGAGACACGGUCCAAAUCCUACGGGAGGCAGCAGUGAGGAAUAUUGGUCAAUGGGCGAGAGCCUGAACCAGCCAAGUAGCGUGAAGGAUGACUGCCCUAUGGGUUGUAAACUUCUUUUAUAAGGGAAUAAAGUGAGGGACGUGUCCCUUUUUGUAUGUACCUUAUGAAUAAGGAUCGGCUAACUCCGUGCCAGCAGCCGCGGUAAUACGGAGGAUCCAAGCGUUAUCCGGAUUUAUUGGGUUUAAAGGGAGCGUAGGUUGACAUAUAAGUCAGCUGUGAAAGUUUACGGCUCAACCGUGAAAUUGCAGUUGAUACUGUAUGUCUUGAGUGUACAAGAGGUGGGCGGAAUUCGUGGUGUAGCGGUGAAAUGCUUAGAUAUCACGAAGAACUCCAAUUGCGAAGGCAGCUCACUGGGGUACAACUGACACUGAGGCUCGAAAGUGUGGGUAUCAAACAGGAUUAGAUACCCUGGUAGUCCACACAGUAAACGAUGAAUACUCGCUGUUUGCGAUAUACAGUAAGCGGCCAAGCGAAAGCAUUAAGUAUUCCACCUGGGGAGUACGCCGGCAACGGUGAAACUCAAAGGAAUUGACGGGGGCCCGCACAAGCGGAGGAACAUGUGGUUUAAUUCGAUGAUACGCGAGGAACCUUACCCGGGCUUGAAUUGCAGAGGAAUAUAGUUGAAAGAUUAUCGCCGCAAGGUCUCUGUGAAGGUGCUGCAUGGUUGUCGUCAGCUCGUGCCGUGAGGUGUCGGCUUAAGUGCCAUAACGAGCGCAACCCUUAUCAUUAGUUACUAACAGGUCAUGCUGAGGACUCUAGUGAGACUGCCGUCGUAAGAUGUGAGGAAGGUGGA